rnacentral:rRNA from 1 species
CACAUGUAAGCUUUAUUUUGCAGUAUUUCUGCCACUAAACACCUAUCUAUCCAUUGCAUUUCAUGUUGUGUUUGGAUAGGAGAUCAAAUCGGCAUAGAUUUAUGCCAAGAAAGUUAGUAUUGUGAGUAUUAAUAUCUUUCUCGAGGAAGGGAGAUGUUGCUCCGUCAUAUUGUAUGACUCUUAACAAUGGAUAUCUUGGCUCUUGCAUCGAUGAAGAGCGUAGCGAAAUGCGAUACAUGGUGCGAAUUGCAGAAUCCCGUGAACCAUCGAGUUUUUGAAUGCAAGUUGCGCCUAAGGUCCAAUAGGCCAAAGGCACGUCUGCCUGGGAAUCAUGCAACUCAUCGCUCUGUAUCUUGACAUUAAAUUAUAAAUAUAAUGAUGUUUAACAGAAGCGGAGAUUGACCCGUCGCAUAUGGGCAGCGGGAUCAAAAUUUGGUUGAUUUCCUUUUGACGGUGAUAGAUAAAUGGGUGGUGAACUCUCUUGCAUGGCCUUAAUAAUCGUAUGAUCAUCAAGUGGAAGACCGUAAAAAACUUGAAACUUAAAGGUGUCAUUUGUGGCAUAUAGAAAUGCGACCCCAGGAUAGGCGAGAUAACCCGCUGAGUUUAAGCAUAUAAUAA